AACGAACGCUGGCGGCAGGCUUAACACAUGCAAGUCGAGCGCCCCGCAAGGGGAGCGGCAGACGGGUGAGUAACGCGUGGGAAUCUACCCAUCUCUACGGAAUAACGCAUGGAAACGUGUGCUAAUACCGUAUACGUCCUUCGGGAGAAAGAUUUAUCGGAGAUGGAUGAGCCCGCGUUGGAUUAGCUAGUUGGUGGGGUAAAGGCCUACCAAGGCGACGAUCCAUAGCUGGUCUGAGAGGAUGAUUAGCCACACUGGGACUGAGACACGGCCCAGACUCCUACGGGAGGCAGCAGUGGGGAAUAUUGGACAAUGGGCGCAAGCCUGAUCCAGCCAUGCCGCGUGAGUGAUGAAGGCCCUAGGGUUGUAAGGCUCUUUCACCGGUGAAGAUUAUGACGGUAACCGGAGAAGAAGCCCCGGCUAACUUCGUGCCAGCAGCCGCCGUAACAC
rnacentral:rRNA from 1 species